rnacentral:rRNA from 1 species
GUGCCAGCAGCCGCGGUGAUACGUAGGGUGCGAGCGUUGUCCGGAUUUAUUGGGCGUAAAGGGCUCGAAGGUGGUUGAUCGCGUCGGAAGUGUAAUCUUGGGGCUUAACCCUGAGCCCGCAUUCGAUACUGCAUGGCUAGAGUCCGGUAGGGAGGUCUGGAACUCCUGGUGUAGCGGUGGAAUGCGCAGAUAUCAGGAAGAACACCGGUGGCGAAGGCGGGACCCUGGGCCGGUACUGACGCUGAGGAGCGAAAGCGUGGGGAGCAAACAGGAUUAGAAACCCCAGUAGUCC